AUUUCAUUGGUUGAUAUUGGGUUGUUCAGAAUUUUUAGGUCUUCUUCGUUCAACUUUGGUAAUUCCUAUGUAUCUAGGAAUCUGUCCAUUUCUUCUGUGUUGUCCAUCUUAUUGGCGUAUAGGUUCUGGAAGUAGGUAUUGAUGAUCCUCUGGAUUUCUGCUGGGUCUGUUGUCAUUUCACCCUUUUCAUUCCUAAUUGCAUGGAUUUGGGCCUUUUCUUUCCUUUUUCUGACAAGGUUGACUAAAGGUUUAUCAGUUUUGUUGAUUCUUUCAAAGAACCAACUCUUGGCUUCAUUGAUUUUUUGUAUCGUUCUCUUAGUCUCCAUUGCAUUUAUUUCUCCUCUGAUCUUUAUAAUUUCUUCCCUUGUAUGAGCUUUGGGGUUGUCUUGCUCUUCUUUUUCUAGAAGCUUGAGGUUCAGCAUCAGGUUGUUUAAUUGAG
rnacentral:lncRNA from 1 species